GAUCGAACGCCUGGGCGGCGUGCCUAAUACAUGUAAGUCGAGCGAUGGAAGUUUCCGUUCGGGAAAACGGGAUUAGCGGCGGACGGGUGAGUAACACGUGGGUAACCUGCCUCAUAGAGUGGAAUAGCCUUCCGAAAGGAAGAUUAAUACCGCAUAAUGUUGAAAGAUGGCAUCAUCAUUUAACCAAAGGAGCAAUCCGCUAUGAGAUGGACCCGCGGCGCAUUAGCUAGUUGGUGGGGUAACGGCCUACCAAGGCGACGAUGCGUAGCCGACCUGAGAGGGUGAUCGGCCACAUUGGGACUGAGACACGGCCCAG
rnacentral:rRNA from 1 species